rnacentral:tRNA from 1 species
CGGGCAGUAGCUGAGUGGUAGAGCUCCCGCUUCGUAUGAGGAAUGACCUGGGUUCGGUUCCCGGCUGCCUAU